GUUCUGAGAGACAGACUGUAGGAAGACGAGUGUGAGUUGUACUAAAAGGAGUGGGAAUGGGGAGAGGUGGCAUGGCAGUGUGAGAAGGCAGUGCCUGCAGGAAUGCAGGGAAUUGAGGCAAUCUCUGAGAGAAGUCAGUGCAGAUGUCUCCUUUGAAUAAAGCAAACUGAGGCUUUUGGGGAGACUUGAGUCCAUUGGUUGGGGAAUGGGAUGGAGAAAAUGAGAGAUUGUUUCUUCAGGCAGUGGAGGGAAUGGCACAUCUGCAAGAUCUAGUGCCAACUGUGCCUGGACUGAGAGCUGAGAAACUCUGUGCUUCAGUUCUUUUUCAUGUCAUGAAAUUAUUAAAUUCACAAGUUCUGGGAGAUUGAAAAUUACCUUUAAACUGCAGUUUGCAGUUUAUCAUUGGCUGUUCAACAUAUGUCUCUUUUUGGGAAAAAAAAAAAAAAAAGGUGACAUUUGCACUGAAGUGAGAUAAAAGCAGUUAUGUGAAUUUGCAUGAGCUGCUUUUUAUUUAUCAAAUGUUUAAAGAUGCUCCUGUGUUUUGAAACCUCCUAGGCUACUUGCCCGUUGCUGAGGUACCAUAUGUAAAAUUCUGACUUAGAGGACAUAUGUUGGUGAGUGUAACCCAAGAGGCUGAUUCUCUUUAUAUUUCACCUCUGUGUCGUGUCAGGGAAACUCCACUGAUUUAUCUGGGUGGGAGCAGAUUCAGGCCCCAAACCUCAGUUUGUGGUGGGAACUGUGUAACAAAUUCAUAAAUCACGUUCCUACAAACAAAAAACUCCAGCACACCACCUUAAUGAAACUUUUAGUAAUGGAGUAAUCAGAGCUGGAUCACACAAGGGCACAAACUGUCUCUCAAACUCACAUGCUUUUCUCUUCUGCCUGACCAUCCCUACGUGGCAUUUCUCUGCUGCAGAAGCACAGCACAAAGCUCCUGCUGACUGGACAGAGGGUCAGAUCAAUACAGGGUGGAUUCAGGUGCCUGCAGUGAUAAUCAAGAGAAGAAAGCCAUGGUAUUGCCCGCUUGAGAGUAGGGGAAAAAAAGGUUGUUGCCCCAUGCAGUAUAUUUAAUCGCAGUUUGGAAAUACAGACUGUGCACAGUUAAUUCUGCAUCAGCACAGCAGCUGUGUCUAAAGCUCGGUGGCUGCCCAGCUGGGGAGCUGCACAGUGCAGGGCAGAGCCUGGAGAACACAGCAACGUGUUGUGCCUUAGCCUCUGCUGGAAAAAGGAACUGUCAUGCAUGUGGCAUGGCUAAAUGCAUUCAAACAUGUAUGUUAGCCCUCAGGUCAGCUCUUGGAACUUUUGGCACACACAGUUUGGUGACGUGACCGGUGGGAACAUGAGAUUGUCCCCAUAUUCCAUCUUCGGGUGAGAGGCAGAUAUCUGUGGGUUUUAACGUGGGUCAGGGGUAUGUUUUGGAGUCAGUCUUUUGGUGGUCUGUCCACAUGAACUUUGGUCAGCAUCAAGGCAGAGUCUUGAAGUUCAUGAACUGGAUUGCUUCUGGAUGACACAAAACUAGAAGACAUGCUCUGGGAGCAGAGACACAAUGCUCCACGUGCAAAUGAGCUUUCAAGUGCAAAGGACCAGACUAAAACUAGUCUGAAGUGGGUGAAACAUCCCGGUACGUGCAUAGCAUGGAUAUCAGGACCUCAGCAUCUUUUCAGUCUACAAACCUGCUCUUAGUGCACUCUGUUUUAUAAUUAACAUACGCAUAGCAUAAUAGCUAUUGCUUUCAAAAUCCCAGUAUUUGAGGAGGAGUCAGAUUUACAGCUCCUUUUUCU
rnacentral:lncRNA from 1 species